rnacentral:rRNA from 1 species
CCCUUAGAUGUUCUGGGCCGCACGCGCGCUACACUGAUUCAUGCAACAAGUUUUGUCCUUGGCUGAUAGGCCUGGGUAAUCUUUGAACGUGAAUCGUGAUGGGGAUAGAUGAUUGCAAUUAUUCAUCUUCAACGAGGAAUUCCUAGUAAACGCAAGUCAUCAGCUUGCGCUGACUACGUCCCUGCCCUUUGUACACACCGCCCGUCGCUACUACCGAUUGAAUGAUUUAGUGAGGACUUCGGACUGGGACCGAUGCGGCUUUCGGGCUGCGUCGGUAUUCUGGAAAGAUGUCCAAACUGUAUCAUUUAGAGGAAGUAAAAGUCGUAACA